rnacentral:rRNA from 1 species
UACGGAGGGUGCAAGCGUUGUUCGGAAUCAUUGGGCGUAAAGCGCGUGUAGGCGGCUUGGCAAGUCGGUUGUGAAAGCCCGGGGCUCAACCCCGGGAUGCCGCCCGAGACUGGGCGGCUUGAGGUCGGAAGAGGGGAGUGGAAUUCCAGGUGUAGCGGUGAAAUGCGUAGAGAUCUGGAGGAACACCCGUGGCGAAGGCGGCUCCCUGGUCCGAUUCUGACGCUGAGACGCGAAAGCGCGGGGAGCGAACGGG